rnacentral:lncRNA from 10 species
CCCGCCUCCCCAGUCUAGCUUGAGGAAACUGAGGCCCAGGCUUACUUCUCCAAAGUCCUGUGACCACUUAGUGCCAUGGAUUGUGCAGGUAGUAUCCACCUUUUCUGCUCUGGCACUGCCCACUGACUCUUCUUCCUGUUCCUGGUCUGCAUGCACACCCAUGCUGCAAAACAACACUUCUGAACCUUUGCUGCUCUACAAAACUCCAAGUUCCCAUUACUUUAUAUGCAUAUGUCCUCACCAACUAUUUCGUGGUGAAAAUAGAGGCAAAUUUCCUACCCACGCCUGAACCCCCAGUGAUGGACAGAUGUAUCUGUCUCCAGACUGACCCUUCCAGCCACUUUCUUCAAAAGCCUUGCCUAUCCCUCUGGAGAAGCUUUUUCCUCCACUUACUCUCUGUUCCCUUGACCACCCUGUCUAGGGUGGUCAUACAUACACACGUCCCUCCCAACAUACACAUGUCACACUCUACCACAUCACCUUUAAAAUUUUUUCUUUAAAAACUUUUAUCAUUUUGUAGAAUCAUCACGUCUACUUAUUCUGUACUGAAUUAUUACUUGUCAACCCUUAACACUUAAUGUAAGCUCUAAAAGAGCAGGAAAUAUGUCUGUUUUGUUCACCAUAGUAUCCCUAAUUCAAGCAUAUAUGGAGGCACUCAAUAAGUAUUUUUGAAUGGAUGAAUAAUUUUCACUCAAGUUCACUCAAACUUAGCAUAUCCAAAUGGAACUGAUGACCUCCUUCUGUUUUCCUAUCUGAGUAUGUCUUAGCCCAGUUCCCUAGAAAACAAACCCUGAUGCAAGGAUUAAGUAUUGAUGCGUUUUUUAGAAGGUAUAAUCCCAGGGCAACAGUAUGAGGAAAAAGAUAAGAAAAAAUGGGGAACAAGGUACAGCAAUGCAUUGCUGUGCUAAACACUACUCCAUGAAAAGCCUUAAAGAAAUACAGCCUGUCUCUUGGGCAGGUACAGCCACUUGACCAUACAGGACAUCUCCAGACAGGCAGUAUGAAGAAAUCACACCAUAAAACAAUGUGAAUAAGGAAGGAAUUUUAUCUUUGUGUCUCCUGUCUCCUGUUGGUCAUAGCUUUUCCCUCAGGGAGUUAAAAUUUUCUCACUUCCCAGUUGGGUUAUCCAUUUU